CCGCUUCGGGGCCGGGGACUGAGGUGGCGGCGCUUCCUGCUGCCGCGGGUCGCGCUCUGUUUUUAAAAACUCUUCUGGCGGCGUUUACCCCCACGCACCUCCUCAGAGGCGACUGAUUAGGAUGCCAUCAGAGCACCAAAGAAGGGAGUGGCAGCCAUCUUCGCAGAGGCAGCCGGAUGACUGGGAGGAAUUUGGACUCUGAAGUAGAGAAGGCUUGCUUUCCAUGCCUCUCAUCUUCGGCCGUGAACCUGAUGCCUCUGAGCAUCUGUGCAAUGGGGGCUUCGGGAAGCUGUUAGGGUUUGUUGAGAUAACAUUUGCACCAUUGUAUUAAUUUUCUGUGGCUGCCUCGGCAACGUACAACAGAGAGCAUAAAACAGCA